rnacentral:RNase_P_RNA from 2 species
UCCUUGAAGAUAUUGAAAAGGGGAGUUCUCAAAUACUUCACAUUGCAUGUGAGAAAUUCGGAGAAGCCUCUACACCUUUUUAUAUCGCUGUCGGUUUCUCUAUUUUCCCUCUCGUUGGGUUUCCUUUGGGGGGCCCGAGGAGGGGAAAAGAAAGGGACAGGACGGAUUCUGCCUGUGAGGGCCCGGCGUCAAUUGACGUCCGCAGAUUGGCAUCAGAAAUAUCAGGAGUCCCUUCGCUGCCCAAAAACUCUUCCUUUAGGGGAUUUGUUUCUGGAAGGUGAAAGGGUGUCUCCUCUGGGAAGCCACUGCGUAGAUUGUGUGAUGACACUUGAGUGCGAUGCGUGGCGUGGCCUGUUGGUCAUAAUUCGAUUCCGAUUAUUCUUCUUAGAGGA